rnacentral:rRNA from 1 species
AUUGAACGCUGGCGGCAGGCCUAACACAUGCCAGUCGAGCGGAUGAAGGGAGCUUGCUCCUGGAUUCAGCGGCGGACGGGUGAGUAAUGCCUAGGAAUCUGCCUGGUAGUGGGGGAUAACGUCCGGAAACGGGCGCUAAUACCGCAUACGUCCUGAUGGAGAAAGUGGGGGAUCUUCGGACCUCACGCUAUCAGAUGAGCCUAGGUCGGAUUAGCUAGUUGGUGGGGUAAAGGCCUACCAAGGCGACGAUCCGUAACUGGUCUGAGAGGAUGAUCAGUCACACUGGAACUGAGACACGGUCCAGACUCCUACGGGAGGCAGCAGUGGGGAAUAUUGGACAAUGGGCGAAAGCCUGAUCCAGCCAUGCCGCGUGUGUGAAGAAGGUCUUCGGAUUGUAAAGCACUUUAAGUUGGGAGGAAGGGCAGUAAGUUAAUACCUUGCUGUUUUGACGUUACCAACAGAAUAAGCACCGGCUAACUUCGUG